GUAGUCUCGCACAGAUGCAUAUCAAUAAGCGGAGGAAAAGAAACUAACAAGGAUUCCCCUAGUAACGGCGAGUGAAGCGGGAAGAGCUCAAAUUUGAAAUCUUAAAGGGUUUCCCUUUACGAAUUGUAGUUUAAAGAAGUGUUUUCUGUUGAGGUUUUGGUAAAAGUUCUUUGGAAUAGGACAUCAUAGAGGGUGAGAAUCCCGUAUUUGACCUCUACUUUCAACUUUGUGAUACACUUUCAAAGAGUCGGAUUGUUUGGGAAUGCAGUCCAAAAUGGGUGGUAAAUUUCAUCUAAAGCUAAAUAUUGGCGAGAGACCGAUAGCGAACAAGUACCGUGAGGGAAAGAUGAAAAGAACUUUGAAAAGAGAGUUAAACAGUACGUGAAAUUGUCAAAAGGGAAGCGUUUGACACCAGUGUUGUUUUUCUGAAAAUCAAUUAAAGAACUGUUUAUGCUAAGCUGUUUAGACUUUAUCAGCUAAUCUGUUUAGUUUUGAGCUUUUCUUUAAUGCACUUUUCAGUUAACAAGUCAACAUCAAUUUCUUUUGCUGUAAAAAAGCUUGAGGAAGGUGGCUUGAGAUUCGUCUUAAGUGUUUAUAGCCUCUUGCCUAUGCAGUCGGAGAGAUUGAGGUCUGCAGCGUAGAUCCUUCGGGGCUAAAUGCAUUUGUGCUAAGUUAUAGCAUUUUAUAGACAACUUGUUGACUAUGAUUUGUCUUGUAGCUUACUCGCUUAUGUUAUUUUACCUACGCUUAGGAUGUUGAUCUGUAGUGCGUGCGC
rnacentral:rRNA from 1 species